UACGAAGGGGGCUAGCGUUGUUCGGAAUCACUGGGCGUAAAGCGCACGUAGGCCGAUUGGUCAGUUGGGGGUGAAAUCCCGGGGCUUAACCUCGGAACUGCCUUCAAUACUGCCAGUCUCGAGUCCGGAAGAGGUGAGUGGAAUUCCUAGUGUAGAGGUGAAAUUCGUAGAUAUUAGGAAGAACACCAGUGGCGAAGGCGGCUCACUGGUCCGGUACUGACGCUGAGGUGCGAAAGCGUGGGGAGCAAACAGG
rnacentral:rRNA from 1 species